rnacentral:rRNA from 1 species
UGGCUCAGUAACACGUGGAGAAUCUAACCUUUGGUGGAGGAUAAUCUCGGGAAACUGAGAAUAACACUCCAUAAACAUAGGAUGCUGGAAUGCUUCUAUGUUGAAAGGCAACGCCAAAGGAUGACUCUGCGACCUAUCAGGCUGUAGUGAGUGUAAUGGACUCACUAACCUGCAACGGGUACGGGUGUUGGAAGACAUUGCCCGGAGAUGGACUCUGAGACAUGAGUCCAGGUUCUACGGAACGCAGCAGGCGCGAAAACUCCGCAAUGUACGAAAGUACGACGGGGGAAUUCUGAGUGCUUACGCCUUGCGUAGGCUGUUUUCUUGUCUAAAAAACAAGGAGAGUAAGGGCUGGGUAAGACGGGUGCCAUCUCGUGCAAUUCUGCACUUAUUGUGUUCGUUGCACGAAGCACAAGCCGCCGCGGUAAUACCCGCGGCCCGAGUGGUGCUCAUUAUUAUUGAGCCUAAAACGUCCGUAGCCGGUUUAAUAAAUUCUUGGGUAAAUCAUAUCGCUUAACGAUAUGAAUUCUGAGAACACUGCUAAACUCGGGAAUGGGAGAGGCCAGAGGUACUUUCAGGGUAGGGGUAAAAUCCCGUAAUCCUGAGAGGACCACCGGUGGCGAAGGCGUCUGGCUAGAACAUAUUCGACGGUAAGGGACGAAGCCCUGGGGCGCAAACGGGAUUAGAUACCCCGGUAGUCCAGGGUGUAAACGCUGUAGAUUUGGUGUUGGAAAUCCUACGGGGAUUCCCAGUGCCGGAGAGAAGUUGUUAAAUCUACUGCUUGGGGAGUACGGUCGCAAGACUGAAACUUAAAGGAAUUGGCGGGGGAGCACCGCAACGGGUGGAGCGUGCGGUUUAUUGGAUUCAACGCCGAGAAACUCACCGGGGGCGACCAUUAUAUGAAGGGCAAGCCAAUGACUUUGCCUAAUUUUUGGAGAGUGGU